UCUAUUGUACAGCUCUUUGCUGGGUUCUGUGAGUUGUUCUAGCAAAUUAUUAAACUUGAGGGGGAUCUUAGAAACUCCCAAAUUUUUGGACUUUAAAAAAUUUGAGAUAUAAUUGACAUAUAACAUUAUAUUAGCUUCAGAUGUGCAGCAGAAUGAUUUGAUGUUUGUAUAGAAACCAGAAUUUGUAGUCAGCCAGGCAGAAUCGCGGGUGGCUCGGGGCCCCACCUACACAUAAUUGUUUCUGGCAUCUGAAGUGGGGACAAUCUUGUGAGACUAUUCGUUCCUUCACUUACAGAUCUAAUGCUUACUCCUGGUGGUUCGUGUCAGAAUUGGACUGAACUGUGGGACACCCAGUUGGUGUUAGAGCAUUGCUGGGGGACCAGGUAAGAACUUUGGAGGUACCGACCCUAAAAACUCUCUUCUGAAAAGCGGCCAAGCACCCAGUCUCAGCUGUCUCCACAAAGGCACUUCAAAAACAGUUGAAGACCGAGCAUAAUAUUCAACAGAUCCUUCUGAAGUGAAAGGAGAUAUAUCCAUAGAGCCCUCAGGAGUCAGCACUUUGGUAUCAAUGUCUCCAGUUUUGUGAUCAGCUCUUCAGCAGGCGUACUCCCUCCUUCAGCUGGAGCCAUGAAGGAACAGAACCACCUGCCCGUGAAAGUGGUUCCCCAGAUGGAGGCGGAGCAUGGGGUUCGCACAGAGUGCUCUCGCUCGAACUGAACAUCUUGCCCCAGGGCUGGGAGACCCGCCUCCACCUGAAAUCCUUUCGUAGAGAUCAGACUACAGCAUUCAUCUUUUUGCCUCUUUGCCUCUUUGUUGUUCAGCUCUUCCCUGCACCUUCAGUCUGUGGUUUUCUUUCAUUCGCACCCACCUUCCACCCUGCUCACCUUCAGGAUUUUUCAUCUGUAUCUGCCACAUUCAUCAGGGAACGAACGUAUAAUCCUUCUUCUGGCUGUCAGUCAAUUUGAAUACUGGUUAUCUUCCCAGCCAUGAACUGUAGCACAGCUCUGUCCUUGGUUUUGGAAGAACAAGCCACACAGCCACGUUUUCUCCUCCAAUACCACGGGAAGUGACCCAUGGCAGCGGCAGAGGGUGUCGCAUAUGUACUUGCAUUCAUUGGGUCCUGGCUGAGGUAGCAGAUUUCCCACAGAAGUCCAUUUUCCCUUUCCUGAGUCACAUCUGAGCCCGCGGCCCUAUAAGGGAAUGAUUCCCUGCUCGGUGAUGAAAUGCCAGGACGCGACAUCCUUUCUAAUGAGUCACAGUCAAUACAAAUUGUUUUCAAAUGACUCUGCCUCUGCCUCCACACCGCGCUUCGUGAAAGAAGAACCUCUUCAAAUCAAAACAUCUUGUUUCAUCAGCCGAGCUCCGGCAGACCUCUCACUUUUGUAAGCAAAAUGAAAUGUGUUUCCACACAAAGGGAAAAUCCAAUCUGUUCUUAUUUUUCCUCGGGUGCCCGUGUUCCACAGUAAGAGGAAAUGACGGAGGCACACACUGGAAAGUGUUUGCAGGGUUUGGGGACGGAGAAGCUACUGAGGAGUUUUGUAGACAAUAAUAAUGAGACAUCUAGAGGGAUUGUGAGCUCCUGAGAGCUCCCAUAUAAACCGUAGGUGGUGGGACUUGUGUGUGCAGCGUGGUGGAUCAUGGUUUUCAUGUGGAAUAGCACCAGCCCUUUAUUAGGAGAAGUGGGACUUUAUUAGUGUCUUUCUGUUGUGUUGCUGCUAAAGAGACCUACAAUAUGGGCUUAGUGAAUCCACAAAUGAUCCCCCAGGUGUGCACACAUCAGCCACGGACAGCUUAACCUUUCCAGCUCGGGGACAAUGGAAAGGAACAACAAUGUAAUGGUCCUUGAGGGCUUAACUAUCAUUACCGCGAAAGGAAAAAAAGAAACUUUUAAGAAAACGCAAACAAUCAUGUGACACAUUUUAGGGUGCAGCAGAGAGGGUGUGAAUUUCAGGCUGGCAGCCAUAAAAUUCCCUCAGGGGGAAAACACACAACGGAUCAGGUUCAACUAUAAAUCAGAGCAGUCCCAAGUCAGAACGAGAUGAAGGAUUUAAAUGUGACCAGGGCUCCAAGCUGUGACAUCAUAGACAAGUGAGAACCCACUUGGACCUUAAACUUGACCUUCUUUCAAACACUCCCAAUAAAG